UCUAACGGUAAAAAAUGACACUAAUAGUAGGAAUUUUAAUAGACCACGCCUUCAACGAAGGAGGAGUCCACUACAUAUUGAACUUAUCGAUCGAUUGUUAGGCCCAUUUCGAUCGGUACUGUACAGUCAAUGGCGGAAUGGCGGCGACGUGGAUUGGAACUUGGAAGUGGAUGCAUGUGCGACUUGAUGUGGCGUUGCAUGUGGGAGGUCCCGUCUGUAAUGUUCGCAGACUGGUCAUUUGAUGAUUCGUGUGCACAGUGGUAGUGAUUGGGUGCCUCAAGAGAGAAUCGCAGAGCAUAGCCACCCAUAGAGCUAAAACUCAUAGAAGAUUUUUAAAAUUUUUAUUUGAUUUUGUGUUGUUUCAGCAGUAGUAUGUCCUUCAACAAUCUGUUAUGUCCAUCCAUGGAAUGAGUGGCAUGCGACUAAGUCAACCAAAUGGGGCAACAACAAUCAGUCAGCAAUGGAAUUAGUCUGUGGAAAACAAAACAUUCAUUCCUGAGGAUGGUUUUGAGUUUAUCUAUGCUUAUUGUAUGUUUAAUUUUUAUUGGGCAAACCCAACAGGGGUUUGCUGUUUUCAAUUCACAAUCGUAAUGGAUUUGAAGAGGAUAUUGGUGGAGUUCUGGUAUAAAAAAGUAAAAGUACAUGUUUGAUGGAUGGGCAACCGAAGAGUUCUGGAUCCUAUUGCUAUUGCACAUGUUAUGCCGUGUAAAACUCAAGGCUAAAAGAAGAAGAAUGAUUCAAAAAUUGUGGGAGAGAAUCAUCAAAGAAUUAUACUCGUUUAGCGGUUUUUUCUGUGCGUGGAACUUUUUUGGUCGAGACGUAAUGGGUGUCUUAAAGGCACUGAAGGUUGAAUUAGAUCCCCAACAAAAAGGCAACGCUGAAAAUCCCAGGGGGCGAUGGUAAUUAGUGACAAUGUUACGGUGUAGAUAACCUCAGAAAGUGUGACGCUAGCUGAUGUAAACCGCACCAGCUGUGCUAUUACCAAGUCUGUCUCACUUUUGCCGCCUAGGAAAAGGUUGUGAGAGUAGCAGGAGAAGAGGAAAUUGCAGUAAACCCGGUUUUGAAAGAAGCCAAACAUUCCGAUGAUAUGGGAGCUCAGCCGGUGGAAACAAAAACCCUAUGUUUCAGAUAGAAAGACAAAAGGAACACAUCGUUCCUAAGCUAGUUCUGAGGACCACUGUCACCGAAUGAAAAUCACCUCGCUUAUAGACUCGGAAGGUGAAAGCGAGACCCAAAAAUUUGCAACAACGAAGCAAGUCCUCCACUGUUACAAACCACAAUAUGUAAAUGCGUCGCAUCCGAGAAAUUAAUACUGCAGUAACCAGAACGAUAAAAAAAUCCAUAUUGUUAACGGUUUCCUGCGUAAAGACGAAUCCGAGCAAGUCGUCACUAGUUUACAGCAAAUCGGGCUCUAUCUUCGGGUAAUUUGAGAUACUUUUCUGGACCGUUCAGAAUCUUAUAAUUGGUCAAAAUUUGAUCGUCCUGUCACAUCUCAAAUUCUAUGUUUUAUAAUUCUUGUUCUAUGACCGAGUUCUUUUCCAGACAGUGGCUUCUCAUUCCUCUUGUCAUACCAGCGAUCAGAUUUGAUGUUUCGAAUUGUUUUGGGUUGUUAAAGCAAGUUUGACUUUCUACGAUGCUUCCACCAACGUGCAUGAUCGCCAAACUUUGUCGUUGUGUCGGACUGUUUAUCCGGAAGAAAAACGUCGAAUUAUUGGCGAUAUGUUUGUCAAAGUGGUAGAUAGAACGGCUAACGAUUUAAAUGUCACUUGGAAUAAUCUACUUCUCGGACAAGUUGCUUUGAUACCGGAUUUAAUUGAAUCCACUUCGCAUAUGGCUUCUUCGCGCGCUGAUGCCAUAAAGACUCAUAACGGUUCCGAAAUGGUUCGUCAGUUGUGCAUUUAUGGCCGUGUAGUAGAACCUCUUAAAGACUUCCAUAAAGAUGAAGUUAGGUCUUAGGUCGCGAGCUGGGUCUGUCCACAGAAUUACUCGAACGUCGCCCGUUUCCUGCUCCCUGGUUUUGUCAAUUCGAAUCAUUUAUGCCGAAGAACUGUUUUUGGAAGCUGAUUUCGUUGAGACGCAAGUCGGAUUCAAAUUGCGACGUCGGAAGAACAGCGUCUUUUAUAAAGAUGGUUCUCUUCCUUGCAGGGAGAUUGCCGGACUUAUAGCUAUUGCGUAGAACUGAGCUCUGAUCAGACACAACCAAACUGGAAUGAUCUAGCCUCCUACGCCCGCUUAAUACAGCGUGUGUGUAAUAUUGUCAAUCGUGUUUGCUACGUAUUCGGAAAGCCUGUGCGUGAAUCGGUGACAGACGUUACACCUACCUACUUAACGAGUAAAAUUUUGGUGAUCUUGAGGGAAGCGGAUUAUUUGGCAAAUAAAAUAUUACGGUAUUCGGGUUGCUCUGAGAAACUAGAACAGAUGCCAAUCGUCUUGAUCCCUUUCACUUUUAUCGCGAUUCGAGUCAACGCAUUCCAUCAUGCCAGUGAUCAGUCAUUUUUCGAUCAUUCUUUUCACAGGAUUUUAUGACUGGGCUUCCUGCAAUUCAUGAUACCCACUUGCCCCAAGAGGUUGUAGACAAGAUGGUUGAAGUCGUCUUAACAGUUCCAGGAAUUUUCAGGGUCUUGUAUGAUCUGACGGCGAAACCAUCCUGGACAACGGAGUGGGAAUGAUAUGAUUUACGAACGUUGGUUAGGCAAAUAAUCUCCGCCACUCUUUACAGGACACGGAUGCGGAAUUGUAUCACUGACCAGAUUGAGAUGGUAUACAUUAUAAUAGUGGAAUGAGUAUAGACUUUAGAAAUUGGAAAAUUUAUCAGCUUUGUCGUCUCGUGAAAAUCCCUUUAACUCGCUUCUUAGGAAAAAUUCAGGUGAUGACUUGUUGAGUUUUCCUUAAUAUACAUGCACACUUGUCGGAAAUAAUGGGUGCAUUUGGUUUUCGUGGAACAAAUUAAACAUUGUUAAUGUGCAGCUAGGUGGGUUGUUGUUGCUCUCCGAAGGCUGUUCGAGGCGUUAUGCAAUUUCCUGAGAUUAAACAUUUAGGAAAUGUGGUAAAUGUUCGGAAAUUGUUAAGAUCUAUUCAUAAUGGUACCAUAAAGUAUGACUGUAGGAAAGGGUACGUCGGCUUCUAAAAGUGAAGAACAGCUCUGACGUCUUUGGUAAGCGGAAAAGGUACUGCUGAUUGAAGCGUCAGAUGACGGUUUUAAGAAUGGACUCUUUACUUUGCCCAAUGAAUCUGUGCUUGGAACUGGCAGGUGGCGUUUAGCAGUGGUACCCAAUCUUUAUUCUUAAAACCCAGAGGUGUUCUUCACUUUUCAGGGGGAUUUAAUGAUGAUACUUGUUGGGUUAUCCAUGAAGAAUACCAAUACAUGGAUAACUGGAGGGUAAUAAAAGUAUAAAACUGUAAUUCCUCAUGGCAUUUUCAUUUACGCAUACGCGGCAGUUCGUGAGCAGACGAACCAUUGAAAGGGCCUUGCGCAGUCUAGCUGCAUCCAGCCAGAUACUAGUAGAACCCAAAACAUUGUUUUGACAAGUACUGUCAUAUUUCGGUUGCAGGUUUUUACUAAAUACCAAGCUGAUCCUACGAGCUACGACAGUUUUACCUACCAAUGUUUAGCGUUUCGUGCUGCAACUAGUAGUUGAUAUUCUAGGAUGUUAUGCCUCAAAUUGGAAUUCAGCUAUCAGAGAUUAGCAAAAUUGAAGCGGAAACUCUAGAUGGCGUUGAUGUACGUCUAUGAUGAAGAUUAUGAGUGACAAGUUAA
rnacentral:lncRNA from 1 species